rnacentral:lncRNA from 1 species
GGAAAGAAACCCUACAAAUGUAAUACAUGUGAAAAAGCCUUUUCAAAACAUAGUAUACUCCAUUCACAUAGAAGAAUUCAUACUGGAGAGAAAUCCUACAAAUGUAAUCACUGUGAGAAAGUCUUUUUAGGACAUUAUGAUCUUCAAAGACAUAAAGGAAUACAUACUGGAUAGAAACCCGAUGAAUGUGAUCUAUGUGUGAAAGCCCAUGUACGUCACAGGAAUCUUCAAAAGCAUAAAAGAAUUCAUACUGUAAAGAACGCUUAUGAAUGUAUAUAAUAUGGUAAAAUCUACAAAUAUUCAUAGUCUUAAUCUUCAUGAACAUAUUUGUAUUGACAAGAAACCCUCUGAAUAUUAACUGUGUGAUAAAACCUAUCCCAACACACUUAUCUCCUAAUGCAUCAAGGAGCACAUACUGGGGAGACAGAGGUUGGGGCGGUUAACUUAUGAAUGUACACAAUGUGGUAAGCCUUUGCAUAUGACAGUCAUCUUUGAACAUUUAAAAAAAAUACAUAAUGUAUCACAAUACAAGAAAAAACACUCUGGUGAAACCUUUGUAAAUAAUAUGGUAAGGCCUUGGCAGGUGACAUUUAUCUCGUAAUGUAUGAAACAACACUUGUAAGAAACUUCAUGAAAAUAAGCAAUGUGGUAAAGCUUGUGCGUGUACGAGUCAUUCUGGAAAUUAUGAGAAAAGUCCAUGCUGCAGGGAAGCCCUAUAAAUGUAGUCAUUGUGGGAAAUUUUUGCACUUCACAGUGUGGGAACUAGACAUGGUGUAAGGAUGUAAACUCUGAAGUUCAGCCACAGUGACAUAUUUUCUCCAGUAGGGGAACAUUUCCUUAAUCUCCCCAAAUGACACUACCAACUGAGAAGGAUUGAUUUCUUUGCUUUUAAGCCUUUAUGAUUGCUUUGUGUUACAUGAGCGCAUUCAUGAUGAAGGAAAACUGGGUAAGCCUUCAGAUGCCUCCACUCCUGUGUUAUAGUAAUGAAUUCUUGUAUAAGAAGAACAGCAUGAGAAAAUAUGAGAUUUGUCUGUGGCUUUGUGUGAGGAUGUGCAUGCUGAUUUCCAAGAAAAUUAAGCUGCUGUACCUUCUUAUAGCAGGAAAUAAAGGAAGAUGUCAAACCCUGA